GUACUGGGCAUCUGGAUCUCUGAUCUUUGUGGAGCCAGAAACUUUGAAGGCAGUGAAUGGCUUCCUAUCUGCUGGAAAAUCAUGCCCAUUCUCUCUUCAUGAAUCUACAACAGACAGAAAUGAGUGAGGUGUAUCCAGCCAACUGGAAAACCUCUGUGGAUGUCAGAAGAGGAUGAAUAAUUAGUAAUUUUUAUUUGAUUCAUUUUACACCUUUUCUCCCCCCUGGCCAUCUGAAAUUCUACUGAGCAGAUUAUAACUUCCCUGGAAAGGAGUCAUCAUAGCAAACCCUUCUGCAAACAGUUUUUGGGCUGCAGCUUAUGACUUGCAGCCCAACUAGACUUGACAUGAAUUAGUAAGAAAGAGCCUCCAAAAUCUGCUGCUACAGGAGAAACAACAUGUUGCUGCAUCCAAAACAUCCAGAGGGGAAUUAUGCAAAGAGAUUACUCAUCACCGGAGCAGUCUUAAUUUCAAGUUCCCAGCACUGAUUUAUGUCUGGGCCACAGCACCGACGUCUUUCCCUGUGCGUGUUCCCUUGUGCAAUAGGAAAAGGCUUUUGCCUCCCCUGCAACUGGUGUUGGCUGAGACUUGGAUCUGAUCUGACCCGUGACGAACAUGUGUGCAUCUGUGAAUUGCAACAGCACAGAGCUGAUCUGAGGGUGGUCCCGUAAUACCAGCCCAGGCUGGUGACCAGCAAGAUAUUGAGCCCUGAUUCAAGAACUGAACUAUACGCUCACCUGUCAGCCGUGACUUUAGUUGGCUGUGCUCAUAACAACAUCUGUUUUGCUGGAUGGGAGUAAACUAAACACAGUCUGAAUUCCUGCAUAAACGGAGAUGAUUCAGGAUUGCUCUGUCACAAACCUGCUGUGAAUUUUCAAAUAUUGACUGACAGCGCCCAUUUCUGGAACACGCAAUAAAAGCUGUAAUUAAAAAAAAAAUGCUUUUACCUUUGUGGUUGCAGAGAAAAGUCUGAAAAUGUGACAAUGGGGCAUGUGGA